UACGUAGGUGGCGAGCGUUGUCCGGAUUUAUUGGGCGUAAAGCGCGCGCAGGUGGUGCGGUAAGUCCUGUGUGAAAUCUCCCGGCUCAACUGGGAGGGAGCGGAGGAGACUGCCGGACUAGAGGCACUCAGAGGCCGGUGGAAUUCCCGGUGUAGUGGUGAAAUGCGUAGAGAUCGGGAGGAACACCAAUGGUGAAAACAGCUCGCUGGGGUUGUGCUGACGCUGAGACACGAAAGCCAGGGGAGCGAACGGG
rnacentral:rRNA from 1 species